rnacentral:rRNA from 1 species
CCUACGGGGGGCAGCAGUGGGGAAUAUUGCACAAUGGGCGCAAGCCUGAUGCAGCCAUGCCGCGUGUGUGAAGAAGGCCUUCGGGUUGUAAAGCACUUUCAGCGGGGAGGAAGGCGUUAAGGUUAAUAACCUUGGCGAUUGACGUUACCCGCAGAAGAAGCACCGGCUAACUCCGUGCCAGCAGCCGCGGUAAUACGGAGGGUGCAAGAGUUAAUCGGAAUUACUGGGCGUAAAGCGCACGCAGGCGGUCUGUCAAGUCGGAUGUGAAAUCCCCGGGCUCAACCUGGGAACUGCAUUCGAAACUGGCAGGCUAGAGUCUUGUAGAGGGGGGUAGAAUUCCAGGUGUAGCGGUGAAAUGCGUAGAGAUCUGGAGGAAUACCGGUGGCGAAGGCGGCCCCCUGGACAAAGACUGACGCUCAGGUGCGAAAGCGUGGGGAGCAAACAGGAUUAGAUACCCCUGUAGUC